UUUUCCAGGGUUGUAAUGAGGUUGGGCUUCCAAAAAAUAUUGGUUUUUCUUAGAUAACAAAAUGCACAUAUUAAAGAAGAAGAACAUAUCUACAAUUCAAUUAUAGAGAACAUAUAUGUUAUCUAAUUACCACUUUCUUUCGAUGUCACAUUUUCCCUCAUUUUCUUUCUGACUUUUCAUGAUUUUCAUGAAAUUUUUCUAUCUUUCUUUUCUAUUUAUUUUUCUUCUUCUGUUCCUUUUUUUUCUUUUCAAUAAUAGGAAAAGAUUCUUCCUAUUUUCAACUUUUUGACUUUCACAAUCAGAACCAACCAUUCCCUUUUCUAUAUGUAUUGCAUCUAUGUUCUCCUUCCUUAAACAUGCUAAAGGGUAGGAAAUUAUAUCAAUAAAGGUUAAGGUGCAAUAUUAACAAAAAAAUUCUUGGCCCAAAGGGGAUAAAAAAAAUGGAAUUCUAAUAUAAAGGUUGGCUUUUUGGCCCUGGCUCCUAAUUAACACAAACAAAUGCCUCAAUCAUCUUCAUGCUCUUUUAUUAUGCAACAAAAAUAAAAAUUAAGCAACCACAACUGUCAAUU
rnacentral:lncRNA from 1 species